UGUUAAGAAUGGAGGAUACAGCAUGAAAAUUAAAAUACACAAAUACUGUUUAAAAUGGUUGAUACAGCAUUAACAUGAAAAUAUGACAAAAUCUGAUCAGACUACAAUAUUCUAAUAAAAGGUUGACUUUAGAGGAAUAUUAUUUGAUAAAACUGCAAAAUAAUGUAUAUGCUAGAAUAACAUUGUUUACUUAAUGUGGUACAGUAAUAUACUAAUAACUUUAAUAAUUGGUAAUACAGGCAAUAGCAUAUAUAAAUAAAGGCAACAGUAGUAUACCGCUGUUCAAAACUAUAUACACUUUGAACAAAUAUUCACGGAACAAAAGCAACAGUGUACAACCAGAAAUACAAAAAGUGGAACAAUCAAACUCAACAGAGAUUGUUUAUCAAAUAUUUCUUCUGUUCAUGUUGGAACAACCAGAAAAAAAAUAUUUUUAGUAAAACUAUGCGGCAUGAUAACAUUGCAG
rnacentral:lncRNA from 1 species